AAGGAGGUGAUCCAGCCACACCUUCCGGUACGGGUACCUUGUUACGACUUCGUCCCAAUCGCCGAUCCCACCUUCGACGGCUCCCUAACAAGUUUGGGCCACCGGCUUCGGGUGUUACCAACUUUCAUGACGUGACGGGCGGUGUGUACAAGGCCCGGGAACGUAUUCACCGCAGCGUUGCUGAUCUGCGAUUACUAGCGACUCCGACUUCAUGGGGUCGAGUUGCAGACCCCAAUCCGAACUAAGGCCGGCUUUCAGCGAUUCGCUCCACCUCACAGUGUCGCUGCGCGUUGUACCGACCAUUGUAGCAUGUGUGAAGCCCUGGACAUAAGGGGCAUGAUGAUUUGACGUCAUCCCCACCUUCCUCCGAGUUGACCCCGGCAGUCUCUCAUGAGUCCCCAACCAAAUGCUGGCAACAUAAGACAAGGGUUGCGCUCGUUGCGGGACUUAACCCAACAUCUCACGACACGAGCUGACGACAACCAUGCACCACCUGUACACCAGCCACAAAGGGAAAGACUAUCUCUAGCCCGAUCCGGUGUAUGUCAAGCCCAGGUAAGGUUCUUCGCGUUGCAUCGAAUUAAUCCACAUGCUCCGCCGCUUGUGCGGGCCCCCGUCAAUUCCUUUGAGUUUUAGCCUUGCGGCCGUACUCCCCAGGCGGGGCGCUUAAUGCGUUAGCUACGGCACGAAAGUCGUGAAAAGACCCUCACACCUAGCGCCCACCGUUUACGGCAUGGACUACCAGGGUAUCUAAUCCUGUUCGCUACCCAUGCUUUCGCUCCUCAGCGUCAGUAACUGCCCAGUAACCUGCCUUCGCCAUCGGUGUUCCUCCUGAUAUCUGCGCAUUUCA
rnacentral:rRNA from 1 species